rnacentral:rRNA from 1 species
GACGAACGCUGGCGGCGUGCCUAAUACAUGCAAGUAGAACGCUGAAGGAGGAGCUUGCUUCUCUGGAUGAGUUGCGAACGGGUGAGUAACGCGUAGGUAACCUGCCUGUUAGCGGGGGAUAACUUUUGGAAACGAUAGCUAAUACCGCAUAAUAGUAGAUGUUGCAUGACAUUUGCUUAAAAGGUGCAAUUGCAUCACUACCAGAUGGACCUGCGUUGUAUUAGGUAGUUGGUGGGGUAACGGCUCACCAAGGCGACGAUACAUCGCCGACCUGAGAGGGUGAUCGGCCACACUGGGACUGAGACACGGCCCAGAAUCCUACGGGAGGGAGCAGUAGGGAAACUUCAGCAAUGGGCGGAAGUCUGACCGAGCAACGCCGCGUGAGUGAAGAAGGUUGUGGGAUCGUAAAGCUCUGUUGUAAGGGAAGAACGAGUGUGAGAGUGGAAAGUUCACACUGUGACGGUAUCUGACCAGAAAGGGACGGCUAACUACGUG